UUAAAAAAUAACUUUUUAUGUUGGUUGCAUGAGAAGAGACAUGAAAAAUUAACUUUUUAUGCCGGUUACUUCUUUUAACCGACAUAGAAAUAGGUUAACCCAAUGUUAUAUAUUCCAGAGACUGUUUUUUUCCCCCCUUCCCCGGUGCCCUUGAGAAACUAUCUUAGCUUGUUUCUUGUAUGUAGAAUAAAUCUCACUUCUAAGGCCAACUACUACUUCCGGUCCUAAUUAUAAGAUUUUAUUUAUAGUCUACAAACGAGGUCUUAUUAUAAAUAGGACCGGAGGUAGUACUUCACUAUAUAUAAGUGGAGACGGGGGAUGCCACUCCUAAAUCUCUUAAUGAAAUCACAAUACUGAAAUAAAUUAAGAUUGUACGUAGAUGAUUAACAUAAUGGUUUUCAAAUUGUCACUUAUUGAUUAUUAUCUCCUAAUAAUAUAUUGAUAUUGUACAAAUUAUAUGCAUGUAUCAUGAACAUGUCCGUGAAAGUGGUCACUCUAGAUUUUGAAAGAGAGAGUCAAUUUACCUGUCUGUCUAGCAGGAAACCGUUUGUGUCAACCGAAAGAGGAAAGAGGAACUUUUGGUGGCACUUGUGAAGAAUAUAGAUUCAGCAAUCCCCAAGUAUCCACAGAGAAUACAUCUGAUAUGGGGAGCAAAGGACAAGAUCUUCGGCUUGGAAGUUGCCAAAAACUUGAAAACGGAGAUAGGGGAGAAAGCGGAGGUGCACGUGAUAGAGGAGGCGGGUCACCUGGUAAUGUUGGAGCGUCCUUUUGUUUUCAGCUCACUCCUCUCCCACGUUGUUGCUUCUUCCCAUCUUCAAUGUUC